rnacentral:rRNA from 1 species
ACGGGAGGCAGCAGUGAGGAAUAUUGGUCAAUGGCCGGAAGGCUGAACCAGCCAAGUAGCGUGCAGGAAGAAGGUUCUAUGGAUUGUAAACUGCUUUUGUCCGGGAGUAAGGCGGCGCACGCGUGCGCCGUUGCAAGUACCGGUUGAAUAAGCAUCGGCUAACUCCGUGCCAGCAGCCGCGGUAAUACGGAGGAUGCGAGCGUUAUCCGGAUUUAUUGGGUUUAAAGGGAGCGUAGACGGGACGUAAAGUCAGCCGUGAAAAUUCGGGGCCCAACCCCGUCGUUGCGGUUGAAACUUGCGUUCUUGAGCGGAGUUGAGGAAGGCGGAAUUCAUGGUGUAGCGGUGAAAUGCAUAGAUAUCAUGAAGAAUACCGAUUGCGAAGGCAGCUUUCCAAGCUCUGUCUGACGUUGAUGCUCGAAGGUGCGGGUAUCGAACAGGAUUAGAUACCCUGGUA